GCAUUGCUGGGGAGUCCUACACUAGGACGAAACGGCCGUCCAGUGC
rnacentral:hammerhead_ribozyme from 1 species